UAAUUUUAAGGUACGUUUAGACUACUCGAUUUUCGUUAUCAUCAUGUCAGUGUAGAUUUGCACUCUAUAUCGAUAUAACCAUGAUCAGAUUUUGUCAAAAAUCUAGUAGACAAAUCUAAAAACCGAAGGAACCAAGUUUAGUGAACUGUUAACUAUGGACGAAGCCGGUGCAGCGUUUGUAAUGAGUGUGCUACAUAUGAGGAAGAGAAGGAAGUGUAGUUGUUGGGAAGUGCAUAAAAUGGCAGUAUAAUGUGGAUUUUAUAUUUAUCUACUUGUUUCAUCACUAAAAUACUGAAUUAUUUGUGAUGAAAUCUGAUACUGGAGAUCUGCAUAAGAAGUUCCCAGAAGAAUGUCUGACGUGGACCAUCCCUCACCAGAGGAUCUUCGCGUUAUCCCUGCGGCGAUACAAGCAGGCUCGCUUAUGGUGAGUCGGCAACAAUCCCUUACAUUUAUGAAUUACGUCAUUGUUGUGCUGGCAGAAGCAGGAAUAGGGUGACGGUGUAUAUGAGCUUGUUGAAGGGACUUCACAAAGUUAGUGAAUGCAUGUAAUCUGGUCCCGGGUUGAGAUCUUCGUCCGGAGACCGGAUAUCCUGACUUACGUUUUCGUGGUUUUCCUCAGUCCCUCUCGGGCGAAUGCCGGGACCACGACAAUUCAUUAUUCACUGUCAUCCUCUCAUCCGACGCUAAGUAGUCUAGAUACUGAAAGUGUCGUUAAAUAAACACGCGGUACACGAAUAACAAAUAAAUAAAUAAAUAACCUUUAGGAGACAGUGAGCAAAGUAAGUUCCUCGUGGUUCUUUUCGAUCACUUCAGAGUAAUUAUAAUGCUUAAAGGAAAUGACAGAACUUUAAUCUGUGUCCGGUUUUCGUAAUUUGUCAACACCUGAUCCAACCGGUUUUUCUCGGUGGUAGGCCAAAUGGAUUGUCCUCCUGGCUGAAGAAUUUUUUUUUCCUUUUCGUAGCAACUUGUGAUAUAAAUAUCAUUUAAGUCUACUCGUUUAUUGUCUUGGGAGACUUAAUGUGGGUAGUGCAGGUCUGUCAUCGAGAAAAAUUUGAAUAUUCAUUCUGUGUUUCAACCUUCGUAUAAAGAACCGUUAGUUUUUAAAUAAGUUGUGCCCAAACUGUUGUCGUCGUCUGUAUAAAACUUUCGGUCACUUCUGCAUUAUUAAAUAUAUAUUUUGAUUAUCUUUUACGAUCCUAAUUUAAAUCGCGUUAUGAGGUUAUUUGGCUCACAUCGUGACGUAGGAAGAAGCUACUUUGCAGUAAAAUGCAUUAAUACAGUCAACCAUUUAAACCGAAAUAUUCCUACGUAACCAAGACUCGGUGGUAUGUCUUAAGGUUGGGCACUGGACAGACCGAAAAGGACUGAAUCAACCUCCCAACUUCCUAAAUUUUAACACGUAAAACAUGACUGCGUUCAAGAAUGUUAAAUUACGUUACAGCAUUUAGGCCUAGUUGGAUUUAUUAUCGACAUCAUCUAGCAAUCAAAAGAGUGAGGCCACUUGCUGACCCGUUCCGGCUUCAUUCGAUCAAAGGUCUCUUUAAAGGUCGUCAUCGGUUUCUUAACCCACGUGGUUAAUAUAUAUUUUUUUUUUUAAUAAUUUGGAAGUCUGUCUCAUUGCAUUCUGUCAACACGUCGAGUCCAAGUUUUUGAUUUCAACAUUUUGUGCUGGAGGCUUAUGGAUUCUGUUUUUAAUUAUAUUAAUAACUUAGGCCUCUGUCUUCCCUUCUUAAAAAGUAACCUGUCCUUAAUAUCUACUGUGGUUUAACCUCAAAAGACCAGUGGUAAUUAUAUGUACCACAUGAUCUUGACAAUAAAUAACUCUAGCAGGUUUUGUUUAUGGGGUUUUGUGUUAUUAUAAGUGUAAGCAGAGAUUAUUUCUUUAAAAACAAUUAACCAUUUGAUAAUUUCAGUGAUAAUGUAUGGUUUUCUUUGAGGUACGGACAGAAUUAUUAAAUGUUGUUUAGACGUUACGUAUUAUGUUCUCGUCUUCUUAACGUGCUUAUGAGAAAUUUCACAGGCCCCAGUUGGUAAUUGUGCUUGUCUUAAACCCUCUUAUGUCCAAGAAAAAAGGUCGUCUACAAAUGUGUAAGUUAUUUUCUAGCAAACGAGGCUUUGGCGACCGAAUAGUGGCCGAAUGACUAUAAUAUCAGCAUUAGAAUAAACGCCUAUGAAUAAACCUAUCUGGAGGCUUAAAGAUAGGAUCUCUAGGCUA